rnacentral:rRNA from 1 species
CCUACGGGAGGCAGCAGUAGGGAAUCUUCGGCAAUGGACGAAAGUCUGACCGAGCAACGCCGCGUGAGUGAAGAAGGUUUUCGGAUCGUAAAACUCUGUUGUUAGAGAAGAACAAGGAUGAGAGUAACUGUUCAUCCCUUGACGGUAUCUAACCAGAAAGCCACGGCUAACUUCUCCAGCAGCCGCGGUAAU